rnacentral:lncRNA from 1 species
GGCAAUGGCACCCCACUCCAGUACUCUAGCCUGGAGAACCUCAUGGACGGAGGAGCCUGGUAGGCUGCAGUCCAUGGGGUCGCUAAGAGUUGGACACGACUGAGCGACUUCACUUUCACUUUUCACUUUCAUGCAUUGGAGAAGGAAAUGGCAACCCACUCCAGUGUUCUUGCCUGGAGAAUCCCAGGGACAGAGGAGCCUGUUGGGCUGCUGUCUAUGGGGUCGCACAGAGUCGGACACGACUGACGCGACUUAGCAGCAGCAGCAGAGGAAUUGUCAGUUAUUUUAUCAUCAUUAUCAUUGUUACCAUCUUUGUCAUUUGGGGUCACAUCCUAAGUACCAGAUGAUUUACAAAUGUUACCACAUUAAAUCCCCAUGACAACUCUGUCAGAAUUUACAUAUGAAAAAAAAUAAAGUAUGGAAUGCCAACUUGCCCAAGGUCUAACAGUUAGUGAGAUGUAGAGCUGGACUCAAACAUCUCUGCCUGACUUAAAAGCUCUCACUCUUUCAAAACACCAUAAUUACCUAAGAUAUGUUGCACACUUCUAAAAAACAAAAGCUUGACAGACACGGAAUGGCACAUCAGUUAACAUCCAGUAAGAUCAAAUGAAAGGGAGAGAAACUAGGAACAAGAGACCAGCUAAAGGCAUCACCCAGUACUAUAGAUAAGAGACUGAGAAUCUGCGCUAACGAAGCCAUAGUGAAGAUGGAGAAGAGGAAAGGAUGCGAGAAAGAUACUCAGAAUGGAGAACUGAUAAUCCUUGGAUCCUGUCUGGAGCGGGGGACGUGGCUCUGUGUCCAUCACCAUCAGCCAAUGGACAUACUGUAAAACUGGUGGCCUCCAGACUGAGGUAAGCAAAACUGAUCCACUGGAGACAGGAAUAAAUAUUAAGAACUUGAAUGUAUCUUCUACUUUAUCUGCUGUUAUUAUGAUUUGUUGCUG